rnacentral:rRNA from 1 species
UCCAGAGCCAUUUCAGCUCUCGCCUGUUUCCCACUGAAGCUAACCAGAGUUGAGCCUGGCCAGCACCUGGAUGGGAGACCUCCUGGGGAAAACUAAGGUUGCUGCUGGAA